UAUUAAUAGCUAGUUGAAGCAUAUGGAAGGAGCGCAAUACAAAAAAAGUUACUGACAUUCAUUUAAGUGAAGGUAUGAUUAUAAAGCAGAUCAUCCGUACUACAGAAUGAGAGAUUCAAAGAACAUCGUUACAAAAAAUCACAUAAAUGAGGCAAUGACUUAUCAACACUGAAAUGUUUUUACUAUGCUAAACAUGGAGGAACCUGAAAGGAGCGGAG
rnacentral:lncRNA from 1 species